AUGGGCCCUCUUGUGGUACACCGACAUGUCAUCGGUGUAACUAUUUACACUCCGAAGGACGGUGCCUAUAUCCUGGUAGUAGUACUAGUAGAAUUGAGAUUUAAUGCACUUUCUUCCCCGUCUUCCACUCUUCUUCCUCCGCUCUUCUUCUUCCUCCUCUCUUCCCCAUCGUCGGCCGCACACCAUUUACCCCCGCUCACUGCUCACCCGCCCGCGCCAUCUUCCUUGGUAGCUUGCGCUUUGAAGCACUCCCUUGGUUUGAAGGAUAGAUACCUUCCUGGGAUCAAGUGCAUCCUAACUCACCUGCUACCAUAUAACUGGAAUUACCGAUGCAAGUCGAAGAAGGAUUGGACGGUGCUGCCGGCUGGCGUCAAGUUCGAUCCCACGGAUCAGGAGCUGAUCGAGCACCUUGAGGCCAAAGUCAGUAUCACACUGAGUGGCCUAAGGAAGCAUUUCUUCCAGUGCAAUUCCAGGGCGUUCAAAAGGGGCAUGUGGACGCGUCGCAAGAUACAGUCGGAGUGCGGCAUGCACGCGAUGUGGCACAAGACCGGCAAUACCUUGCCUGUGAUGGUCAACGGCCGGCAGACGGCAGCAGAAAAGGUUCUGGUGCUGCACACCAACAAGAACUUUGACCAGCAGAGGACCAACUGGGUGAUGCAGCAAUACCACCUCGGGGACCUGGAGCAAGAGAAGGAGCGGGAGCUGUUGUACUACCUUCUCGUCCGCAAGUUGGUAUUGUUGUUAACGAUCUUUUGGUCGACCAAGUUUCAACUGGGCUGUAGACUGCCCAGGGUUGGUUUUGUUUUUAACAGGCCCAGCCCAUGA
rnacentral:rRNA from 1 species